rnacentral:rRNA from 1 species
CCUACGGGAGGCAGCAGUGAGGAAUAUUGGUCAAUGGGAGAGAUCCUGAACCAGCCAAGCCGCGUGAGGGAAGACGGCCCUAUGGGUUGUAAACCUCUUUUGUCGGAGAACAAAACCCGGGACGUGUCCCGGACUGCGUGUAUCCGAAGAAAAAGCAUCGGCUAACUCCGUGCCAGCAGCCGCGGUAAUAGGGAGGAUGCGAGCGUUAUCCGGAUUUAUUGGGUGUAAAGGGUGCGUAGGCGGUCCGUUAAGUCAGCGGUAAAAUUGUGGGGCUCAACCCCGUCGAGCCGUUGAAACUGGAAGACGUGAGUUGGCGAGAAGUACGCGGAAUGCGCGGUGUAGCGGUGAAAUGCAUAGAUAUCGCGCAGAACUCCGAUUGCGAAGGCAGCGUACCGGCGCCAGACUGACGCUGAGGCACGAAAGCGUGGGGAUCGAACAGGAUUAGAUACCCCAGUAGUC